rnacentral:rRNA from 1 species
UACAGAGGGGGCAAGCGUUGUUCGGAAUUACUGGGCGUAAAGGGCGCGUAGGCGGCCUGUUAAGUCGGACGUGAAAUCCCUCGGCUCAACCGGGGAACUGCGUCCGAUACUGGCGGGCUUGAAUUCGGGAGAGGGAUGUGGAAUUCCAGGUGUAGCGGUGAAAUGCGUAGAUAUCUGGAGGAACACCGGUGGCGAAGGCGGUUCUCUGGGCCUUACCUGACGCUGAGGAGCGAAAGCGUGGGGAGCGAACAGG